AAUCUUCCGCAAUGGACGAAAGUCUGACGGAGCGAUGCCGCGUGAGUGAUGAAGGNCUNNGGAUCNUNAAACUCUGUUGUUAGNNNNNAACAAGUAUCGAAGUUAUAUGCCGGUACCUUGACGGUACCUUACCAGAAAGCCCCGGCUAACUACGUGCCUGCAGCCGCUGUAAUACGUAGGCGGCAAGCGUUGUCCGGAAUUAUUGGGCGUAAAGGGCACGCAGGCGGUUAUUUAAGUCAGAUGUGAAAUCUUGUGGCUUAACCACAAGCGGUCAUUGGAAACUGGAUAACUUGAGUACAGAAGAGGAGAGUGGAAUUCCACGUGUAGCGGUGAAAUGCGUAGAGAUGUGGAGGAACACCAGUGGCGAAGGCGGCUCUCUGGUCUGUAACUGACGCUGGGGUGCGAAAGCGUGGGUAGCGAACA
rnacentral:rRNA from 1 species